CACGUAGGCACCAAGCGUUGUCCGGAUUUAUUGGGCGUAAAGAGCUCGUAGGCGGUUUGUUGCGUCGGCUGUGAAAUCCCGAGGCUCAACCUCGGGUCUGCAGUCGAUACGAGCAAACUAGAGUGUUGCAGGGGAGACUGGAAUUCCUGGUGUAGCGGUGAAAUGCGCAGAUAUCAGGAAGAACACCUAUGGCGAAGGCAGCUCUCUGGGACGGUACUGACGCUGAGACGCGAAAGCGUGGGGAGCGAACAGG
rnacentral:rRNA from 1 species